rnacentral:rRNA from 1 species
CUCGUAGGCGGCUUGUCGCGUCGGAUGUGAAAGCCCGGGGCUUAACCCCGGGUCUGCAUUCGAUACGGGCAGGCUAGAGUUCGGUAGGGGAGAUCGGAAUUCCUGGUGUAGCGGUGAAAUGCGCAGAUAUCAGGAGGAACACCGGUGGCGAAGGCGGAUCUCUGGGCCGAUACUGACGCUGAGGAGCGAAAGCGUGGGGAGCGAACAGGAUUAGAUACCCUGGUAGUCCACGCCGUAAACGUUGGGAACUAGGUGUGGGCGACAUUCCACGUCGUCCGUGCCGCAGCUAACGCAUUAAGUUCCCCGCCUGGGGAGUACGGCCGCAAGGCUAAA